rnacentral:lncRNA from 1 species
UUUCCCCGUGACAAAGGUGCCCUGAAAAGUUUCAAAAGCCUGAUACUUUUUGAAUAUCACAAUUGACAUUUCACCGAUUAAAGAGGGCACAGGAAACAGAGCAACCGAAAACGUGAGCGAGAGAGUGUAGAGCACAUUUCUGAAAAAAAAAAAAAAAAAAAAGACGCUUUAUGGUGCAACUAGCACAUGAGAUGGCCAGGGGAGGAGUUCAUGUUUGGGAUGUAGUCUGAGUUAAGGUUUUGAAGGACUUUGAAAGCUAUGCUAAAAGUUUUGAAAUUUAUUUUGAAGAGGAGAGCUUAUCAAGACGGUGGCGUAAGCAGACUCUGAACUCAUCUCCUCCCACAAACACAACCAGGUUACAACUAUUUUUGGAAAAAUUACCCUGGAGAGAAAACUGAAAACUGGAUAAAAAGAACCCUCACAACAAGGGACAGUCCUGACUAAGGCGGAAGCAGCAGAAAUUCCUGCUGGAGAGGAAAAAAGCCACCUUGGGAGCAGUGGAGCUUCUCAGCUGGCCAGGAGGGAGCCACCCUAAGAGCAAAGAAAAGUCAGAGAGAACCAGCCCGAGACCGAUGCUGCAUUUGGAAGGUUGUGGUCGGCCAAGAGAAGGCAGUGGUCCACAGAGUCUCCAUCCCUCCAGAGGACCACAGAGCCAGGACACGCAACAGGUCAACUAGACAGAGGCUGCACAGGCCAUUUGCAGGGCAAAGUCAGUGCCCAGCACAGCAGAGAAAAUCUUUCUGGUGAGCUGCGCCUGAACAUGUGUGAAGUGGAGGUAACAGCCUGGCACAGCACAGCCACCAAGGAGGGAGACUGAGAAGAAAGGAGAGACCGAGAAGAAAAGAGAGACCAGGAGUACAAAUUCACCUAAAAGAAGACCUCCACAUGAAAGAUAGUGAAUUUUUCUAUUAAAUCUGACAUCAUUUCCUUGUAUGUCUGAUUUAUUUGGGAAAGUGAAAAUUCAUAUCAUAAAAAUGGCAAAAUUUCUCCAAGUCCCCAAACCACCAUAAUGGCGCCCAUUUCAUCAAGCCAAGCAGGAGUAUCCUGGGACUCUCUAAGGAGGAGACACACUGGUAGCAAUCAGAAUAUUGGCAAAGCAUAAGCUUAAGGCAGGAGAAGAGUCAGUAUCCUGCCUCUAUGUGAUUCAGAGCACAGAAAUUGUUGCUCACAACCAUGACCUUGGGUCACUGACUCAGAGUUUAACCCGGAAAGGGGAAACCACAUCAAUUGUAUAGCUAGGUAGAUAGAUAUCUCAGAGAUAAUUUAAUCAGGGAAACCAUUGCACAGGUGAGGGAGGAGCCAGGGGGCCAAACAAAGAAUGACGGGGACCCAGAUAUUAGCAUCAGCAGGAUGUCACUGCACUCAGGCCAGUGGGUACAGGGUAUGGGGGGAUCGAACUGGGCUGAUGGCAUCCUGGAGAUGCUGGCAUUACCACACAGCUGCUGAGACUGGAGGCAGAUAGAGAAAGAAGACAAAGUUGGCUUAUCCCUUCCCUCCACCCUCCAGUCUCCCCUCAGUGCCCGGUGGACACACACCCAGCCAGUAACCGGGGAAGUCAGCUUAGAGGCAUCAGGCCUGCAGCUCACAGCAGAGGAAUGGACUGGAGGGCCAGAAGUCAUAAACAGGGAUUACAAUUGUCUAUCCCAUUUUAGAUCAUAAUCAUGGUUUUUUGCUUAAAUAGACCUAAAGUGGAAAGUUUCAAUAACUUGGAAAACAGAGAAAAAUAUAAAUAGCAGAGCAGUUUGAGGCAAUUGAGUAGAACAGUGUAAACCCUGUAAAGCUCUAGAGGUUUUGAGAGUGUCAUUAUAUCACAGUGAAAUGCAAUAAAACAUCUCAAUUUCACUGGAUGGUAAAGAAAAUCAUUUGGAUGCUGUAUAUUCUGUUUGGAAUGGAAAAAAUAUAAAGUAUAAUUUUUAAAAGCUUCUCAGUAUUUAAAGUAUUUAAGGGAUGACAAAGAUUCUUGUUAUGGACAAAAUAAUUUUGUCCCACUCCCCCCCAAAUUCGUACAUUGAAC